GGUUGCCACUUCAUGUUAAAAAUUCAAAAGCUGAAAUGAAAAAGAUGUGAAGAGCUUCACUAAAGGCAGUGGCAGAGGUCUUUCUCAUCAGAUGGAAAAUUUUAAGCAUUAUAGCAAAGCCGAACACUUAUCCCUGGUGAGAAAAAGCACAGAAUGUUCACCAGAGCUGAGCAUUAAAUAACGACGGCAUGUUACAGACUGGUUAUUUAACACAGCCUGAACCACUGAUUGAUCACCUGAGGAAAGGGCUAAGUCAGCCAUGGGAACACAAGUGAAGAUGAUUCAGCUCCUAGAUCCCAUUUAAGGGCUGACUGGCAGCAGGGAAGAAUUUCUUUCUGGAUAUCCUUUGUCUGUGGAGUCCUUCUUGUGAACCUAGAUCUUCAGAUAGAGAUUACAUAUUUUGGAGAUAACCUGUAUAACUUUGUCCAAGCUGACUUCCAAACUUGUCUUCAUGGCAGUAGUCAGGAACUUUCUCAUGCUUUUCAUCCCCGUGUGUACAUUCCUUCUAUUUCUACAUAACAGGAUGGGAUUCUAUAGCUGGUGCAUGGCUUCAUUGCUGUGGUUUAGUGGUGAAUGAAACCUGUUAACCUGGCAGUAGCAUUGCCUUGGAGGUGCCUGAACUAAGGUAGAGUUAAGGCUGCUCCCACCGGGCAGAGCAGGGCUCACUCAGCAUCCUGCGGUCCCUCUUCUGGUGAACGUAUGAACAACUAUUUCAGGAGCUGAGGAGACAUUCCUUUUGUCUUGUCCUGAUACUCUUUGCAAGUUGUUCUGUUUUCUGCAUUUCGUCUUCUUGCUACGUGCUUUAGUGAAUCGGGAUUUAAAAGGCUCUUGAUUUAAGAUCUCCUUUUAAGAAAGGAAGGGGGGGGGGAAUUCCUGAAUAUUGAGAAUAGCCUUGUCAGAUUAUCACAAUGUAGGAAAUAUUUAAAUAUUAAAUACAGUAGAACAACAGUAUUCUACCAAGCUAGUAGACAAACUUUUUAAAUGAAUUA